rnacentral:rRNA from 1 species
GAGUUUGAUCGUGGCUCAGAUUGAACGCUGGCGGCAUGCCUUACACAUGCAAGUCGAACGGCAGCAUGAUCUAGCUUGCUAGAUUGAUGGCGAGUGGCGAACGGGUGAGUAAUACAUCGGAACGUGCCCUGUAGUGGGGAGUAACUAGUCGAAAGAAUUAGUCUAAUACCGCAUACGACCUCGAGGGUGGAAAGUAGGGGGACCGGCAAGGCCUCAUGCUAUAGGA